UACGUAGGGUGCGAGCGUUGUCCGGAAUUACUGGGCGUAAAGGGCUCGUAGGUGGCCAACUAAGUCAGACGUGAAAUCCCUCAGCUUAACUGGGGAACUGCGUCUGAUACUGGAUGGCUUGAGUUUGGGAGAGGGAUGCGGAAUUCCAGGUGUAGCGGUGAAAUGCGUAGAUAUCUGGAGGAACACCGGUGGCGAAGGCGGCAUCCUGGACCAACACUGACACUGAGGAGCGAAAGCCAGGGGAGCAAACGGG
rnacentral:rRNA from 1 species